CAGGAAGUGGGCUAGGAUCCCUCGAAACCGGCGACAACCGCCACCCUCCUCGCGCCCGAGCGACCCGCAACUCGAGGGUUCCCGGCCCCUGUCUCGUGUGUUACCUGCCCCUCCCCCCUCCCGCCCGGUGAACUCGAGAGAUCAUGUCGAACAUGGAGAAACACUUAUUUAACUUGAAAUUUGCUGCAAAAGAACUUAAUAGGAAUGCCAAGAAGUGUGAUAAAGAAGAAAAAGCUGAAAAAGCCAAGAUAAAAAAGGCCAUUCAGAAGGGCAAUACAGAAGUUGCAAGAAUACAUGCUGAAAAUGCAAUCCGUCAGAAAAACCAAGCAAUCAAUUUCUUGAGAAUGAGUGCUAGGGUUGAUGCUGUGGCAGCCAGAGUUCAAACUGCAGUAACAAUGGGCAAGGUGACAAAAUCCAUGGCAGGUGUAGUUAAAUCUAUGGAUGCUACAUUGAGGAGUAUGAACCUUGAGAAGAUUUCUGCCUUAAUGGACAAAUUUGAACAUCAGUUUGAAACAUUGGAUGUUCAGACACAGCAAAUGGAAGAUACAAUGAGUAGCACUACUACCCUCACAACACCACAGAACCAAGUGGACAUGCUGCUUCAGGAAAUGGCAGAUGAAGCUGGCCUCGAUCUCAAUAUGGAGCUACCCCAGGGUCAGACAGGGUCUGUUGGUGCAAGUGUUGCUUCUGCAGAGCAGGAUGAACUGUCACAGAGGCUUGCUCGUCUUCGUGAUCAAGUGUAACUUAAAUAACUGGUGCUUCUGUUUUCUCCACAUAUUUCUGAAACAUCAUUUGUAGACCAGAAGAGGACAUUGGAUUCCCCAGGAACUAGAGCUAUAGACAAUUGGGAGCCAACAUAUGGAUGCUAGGAUUCAAACCCAUCUCUUCUAGAAGACCAGCCAGUGCUCUUAACUCCUGAGCCAUGUGUUUAGCUGCAGUUUUGUUUUGUUGUUGUCGUUGUUUUGCUUGUUUAUUUUAGAGACAGGGCAGAAAUAUAUAGCCCAGAGUAGCCUGAAACUCAGUGAGCCUCUAGCCUUGGUCUCUAAGUAUAUACCACCAUGCCCAGCUCAUUUUCUAUGAUUUGUGGGGGAGGGGGGUUGUCAUGCACGUUAGUUAUUUUUUCUGUUUCUAUGAUAAAUAACCAUGCUCAAAAGUGGCUUAUGGAAGAAAGAAAGUAUUUUGGCUUAUGGUUCCAGGGAAAUGAGGGCUCUGUCAUGGUGGGGAGGUGUGGCAUCAAGAACAAGAAGCUGAGCUGGUACAUGUUUAAUUGCACACACAAAGCAGAAAGAACAGGCUGUAAGUGUGACAGACCUAGAAGCUUUCAAAGCCCAUCCCAGUGACAUAUUUCAUUUAGUAAAUUUGCAUAUCUCCAUACCUUCUCCAUAAGGCACCACCAACUGGGAAACAAUUAUUCAACUGCAUGAGUCUACGGAAAAAUUUCUCGUUCAGACCACCACAUUCCUCUCCCUGGCUUCCAUAGGCUUAUGGCUGUAUCAUAAUGCAAAAUGUAUGUACUCUGAUGUUAAAGGUGCCCAUUAUCUUUCUCAGUCUCAAUACUAUUUGAAAUUUCAAAGUCCAGCAUCUCUUGUGAGACUCAAGACAAUCUCUAGCCACUGAUAAAAUCUAAAAGCAAAUAAUAUACUUCCAACAUACAGUGGCACAGGUUAUGCAUUAUCAUUUUAGAAGGGAGGAAUGGGGACAUAGUGAGGAAAUACUGGGACUACAGAGAGACUGAAAGCUCACAGGGCAUACAAAGAAGCAAAUCCUGUAGCUGUGUGUGGGAUGUUGGGGCCUACUUUCAGAGGGCUUGGAUGGCUUAACUCCUCCAGCUUUGCUGCCUGAUUCAACAGCUCACUCUCUAGUACCAUCUUCUCCAUUACUUACUUCUCUGUUGCUGUGAUUAAGCACCAUGACCAGAAGCAGGGAGGCAUGAUAGCAGGAUCAGGAAGCCAAGAGAUCAUUCUGUCCAUGGUACACAUGAAGCAGAGAGAGCCAGCUGGAAGUGUAGCAAAAUAGUACACUCUCAAUGCCUGUUGCUGGUGAAAUAAUUCCUCCCACAGAGUACAGUGACCUGUACCAUAACCUUCCCAACUGGUGAUCAAAGUUUCAAAUAUGUGAGCCUAUAGGAGAUUCAGUCAAGCCAGAACAUUAUGUAAAGAGAAACACAGUAAAUAUUUACUCGGUUUUCAUCCACUGUAAAGUUUAAAUUAUUAUAGUUUUUAGCCAGUAAUUUAAUGAUGACUUCAUUAAUUUUUUUUUUAAAACUGGCUAUUCCUUUUUUUUUAAGAUUUAUUUAUU